rnacentral:rRNA from 1 species
UAGUAUUCAAUUGUCAGAGGUGASAUUCUUGGAUUUAUUGAAGACUAACUACUGCGAAAGCAUUUGCCAAGGAUGUUUACAUUAAUCAAGAACGAAAGUUAGGGGAUCGAAGACGAUCAGAUACCGUCGUAGUCUUAACCAUAAACUAUGCCGACUAGGGAUCGGAUGAUGUUAAUUUUUUAAUGACUCA